rnacentral:rRNA from 1 species
UGGGGAAUAUUGCACAAUGGGCGAAAGCCUGAUGCAGCGACGCCGCGUGAGGGAUGACGGCCUUCGGGUUGUAAACCUCUUUCAGCAGGGACGAAGCGCAAGUGACGGUACCUGCAGAAGAAGCACCGGCUAACUACGUGCCAGCAGCCGCGGUAAUACGUAGGGUGCAAGCGUUGUCCGGAAUUACUGGGCGUAAAGAGUUCGUAGGCGGUUUGUCGCGUCGUUUGUGAAAACCAGCAGCUCAACUGCUGGCUUGCAGGCGAUACGGGCAGACUGGAGUACUGCAGGGGAGACUGGAAUUCCUGGUGUAGCGGUGAAAUGCGCAGAUAUCAGGAGGAACACCGGUGGCGAAGGCGGGUCUCUGGGCAGUAACUGACGCUGAGGAACGAAAGCGUGGGUAGCAAACAGG